rnacentral:rRNA from 1 species
CGAGGGGUCCUAGCGUUGUUCGGAAUCAUUGGGCGUAAAGCGUGUGUAGGCGGCCAUUCAAGUCAGUUGUGAAAGCCCCGGGCUUAACCCGGGAAGUGCUUCUGAUACUGUUUGGCUUGAGUACUGGAGAGGAUAGUAGAAUUCCUGGUGUAGUGGUGAAAUACGUAGAUAUCAGGAGGAAUACCGGUGGCGAAGGCGGCUAUCUGGCCAUGUACUGACGCUGAGACACGAAAGCGUGGGGAGCAAACAGGAUUAGAUACCCUGGUAGUCCACGCCGUAAACGAUGGAUACUUGGUGUUGGAGGUAUUGACCCCUUCAGUGCCGAAGCUAACGCGUUAAGUAUCCCGCCUGGGGAGUACGGUCGCAAGAUUA